GCCAUUUUGGAUUGUGUGAGUUUCCGGGACGUUCGGAGGGUGGCCUCUCUCCCACCGGGUUCCGCAUACCCCAGGCACCGGCCCGCAUCCAAGUGUCAGGUUGGAGCCGGGAAGCGGCCCUGGUGGUAGCGGCGGCGGGGGCAGGAUGAGCGCGGAGGCGGCGGACCGGGAGGCGGCCACCUCCAGCCGGCCCUGCACCCCGCCGCAGACCUGCUGGUUUGAGUUUCUGCUGGAGGAGUCACUGUUGGAGAAACAUCUGCGCAAGCCCUGCCCGGAUCCUGCACCAGUUCAACUUAUAGUUCAGUUUUUGGAACAGGCUUCCAAACCUUCAGUUAAUGAACAAAACCAAGUUCAACCUCCGCCUGAUAACAAGAGAAAUCGUAUUUUAAAACUACUUGCUCUUAAAGUUGCUGCACAUUUGAAGUGGGACUUAGACAUAUUAGAGAAAAGUUUGUCUGUUCCAGUAUUGAAUAUGCUACUAAAUGAACUACUCUGCAUCAGUAAAGUUCCUCCUGGGACAAAGCAUGUAGACAUGGAUCUGGCCACUUUACCUCCGACCACUGCCAUGGCUGUACUUCUCUAUAAUAGAUGGGCAAUUAGGACAAUUGUUCAAAGUAGUUUUCCAGUCAAACAGGCAAAACCCGGACCCCCUCAGUUAAGUGUUAUGAAUCAAAUGCAACAGGAAAAAGAGCUAACAGAAAACAUUUUGAAAGUGCUCAAAGAACAAGCUGCUGAUUCUAUUUUGGUACUAGAAGCAGCCCUAAAAUUAAACAAGGAUCUUUAUGUCCAUACGAUGAGAACUCUAGAUUUAUUGGCCAUGGAACCAGGCAUGGUAAAUGGAGAAACUGAGAGUUCUACUGCUGGAUUGAAAGUCAAAACCGAAGAAAUGCAGUGCCAGGUGUGCUAUGAUUUGGGCGCAGCAUACUUCCAGCAAGGCUCCACAAAUUCAGCUGUCUAUGAAAAUGCCAGGGAAAAAUUUUUUAGAACCAAAGAACUAAUUGCAGAGAUAGGUUCAUUAUCUCUUCAUUGUACCAUAGAUGAGAAGCGGUUAGCUGGCUAUUGUCAAGCAUGUGAUGUUCUUGUACCUUCUUCUGAUAGUACAUCUCAACAGUUGACUCCAUAUAGUCAAGUCCAUAUUUGUUUGAGAUCUGGCAACUAUCAGGAGGUAAUACAGAUUUUCAUUGAAGACAACUUAACCUUGAGUUUACCUGUCCAGUUCCGACAGUCAGUCCUAAGAGAACUCUUUAAGAAAGCUCAACAGGGAAAUGAAGCUCUAGAUGAAAUCUGUUUUAAAGUUUGUGCCUGUAAUACAGUCCGUGAUAUACUGGAAGGCAGAACAAUUAGUGUUCAAUUUAACCAGCUAUUUCUUAGACCAAAUAAAGAGAAAAUAGACUUUCUUCUUGAGGUAUGUUCAAGAUCAGUAAAUUUAGAAAAAGCUUCAGAGUCUUUGAAAGGAAACAUGGCUGCUUUUCUAAAGAAUGUGUGUCUGGGGUUGGAAGAUCUGCAGUAUGUUUUCAUGAUUUCUUCACAUGAGCUUUUCAUUACAUUGUUGAAAGAUGAAGAACGAAAGCUACUUGUUGAUCAGAUGAGGAAGAGAUCCCCUAGAGUAAAUCUGUGCAUUAAACCUGUAACUUCAUUUUAUGAUAUCCCAGCUUCAGCAAGUGUCAACAUUGGUCAGUUAGAGCAUCAACUUAUAUUGUCAGUGGAUCCUUGGAGGAUUAGACAAAUUUUAAUUGAAUUACAUGGUAUGACUUCAGAGCGCCAGUUCUGGACAGUGUCUAAUAAGUGGGAAGUACCUUCUGUCUAUAGUGGUGUUAUCCUGGGAAUUAAAGACAAUUUAACAAGAGAUUUGGUUUAUAUUCUUAUGGCCAAAGGUUUGCACUGCAGUACUGUUAAGGACUUUUCCCAUGCUAAACAGCUCUUUGCUGCUUGUUUGGAGUUGGUAACAGAGUUCUCACCGAAGCUUCGUCAGGUCAUGCUGAAUGAGAUGUUGCUUUUGGAUAUUCAUACACACGAAGCUGGGACAGGGCAGGCAGGAGAGAGACCGCCAUCCGACCUUAUAAGUAGAGUACGAGGCUAUCUGGAAAUGAGGCUUCCUGAUAUUCCUCUUCGUCAAGUUAUAGCUGAGGAAUGUGUUGCCUUUAUGUUAAACUGGAGAGAAAAUGAAUACCUUACACUCCAAGUUCCUGCAUUUUUGCUUCAGAGUAAUCCAUAUGUAAAGCUUGGACAGCUUUUAGCAGCUACAUGCAAAGAACUUCCAGGCCCUAAAGAAAGUAGACGGACUGCCAAAGACCUUUGGGAAGUUGUUGUUCAAAUCUGUAGUGUGUCCAGUCAGCACAAACGAGGAAAUGAUGGCAGAGUUAGUUUAAUAAAACAGAGGGAAUCUACGUUAGGUAUCAUGUAUCGGUAUGUAUUGGAGUGAACUGCUUUCUUUUAUCAAAAAAUUACGAGGACAGGGUCUUGAUCUGUCACCCAAGCUGGAGUGCUGAGGUGAACCACUCGUUUUGACUAUUAUUUUAUCACUCUUUGUGAAACUUCACAAUGUUCGGGAGGACAUUGUGAAUGAUAUUACAGCUGAACACAUUUCUAUUUGGCCAUCUUCCAUUCCCAAACAUCACGUUGCUUUGUCGCCCAGGCUGGAGUGCAGUGGUGAGGUCUCAGCUCACUGCAACCUACGCCUGCAAGGUUCAAGCGAUUCUCAUGCCUCAGCCUGCCAAGUAUCUGGGAUUACAGCCUCCAGUCUGUGGACUUUGAAGCUGUGGCAAUCACAGUGAAAGAGCUAGUUCGAUAUACACUCAGUAUAAAUCCAAAUAACCAUUCUUGGUUAAUUAUCCAGGCAGAUAUUUACUUUGCAACGAAUCAGUAUUCAGCAGCUCUUCACUAUUACCUCCAGGCAGGAGCUGUGUGUUCUGACUUCUUUAACAAGGCUGUGCCCCCUGAUGUUUAUACAGACCAGGUAAUAAAACGAAUGAUAAAAUGUUGUUCUUUGCUGAAUUGCCACACACAGGUGGCCAUUUUAUGUCAGUUCCUCAGAGAAAUUGACUACAAAACAGCGUUUAAAUCUCUGCAAGAACAAAACAGUCAUGAUGCUAUGGACUCCUACUACGACUACAUAUGGGAUGUUACCAUUUUGGAAUACUUGACUUAUCUUCAUCAUAAAAGAGGAGAAACAGAUAAAAGACAAAUUGCAAUCAAAGCCAUCGGCCAGACAGAGUUGAAUGCAAGCAAUCCAGAAGAAGUGUUACAGCUGGCAGCGCAGAGAAGGAAAAAAAAGUUUCUCCAAGCAAUGGCAAAACUUUACUUUUAAGCAGUUAAAUUUUUUUAACUUUUAUUUUUUAAACAAUGGGCUAAAAAUAAACAGUAUUAAAAGGUUAAGUUUAUAUAAUACAUAUGUACACAAUUAGUGGUGUUUUCUUUUCAGACAAAAUACUGAAACAAAUAUUAGUUUAAAAACAAACUAUACAGAAGACUUCAUACCGUAACAAUAAAUGUAUAGUUUCUUCAAAGGGAGAAGAGAUUCACAUAUCUGAUAACAAAAUAAACUAGCAAUCUAGUUUUCUAAUCUACUUUAUGAGGCUGGAUUUUUUUUUUAGAAAAGCUAAUUUAAAAUAUUUAGAAAUAGCUAGCCUAUGUACAGCAAGUUUUCAUGUCUUUUUUUAAUAAAUAGAUUUCUAGGAGUCAGUAUAUAUUUAAUACUCUUCUUCCUUAAGAAAAUAGAAGUUUAGGUCAAGUGUUAAGCUUUAUCACUUUGACACUGUCCUUAUCUCACAAUGGAGGAAUUUAGAAAGGACCUUAACAGUUUCACAAACAUAAAUAAAGCCUUAGUCACACUAAAUUAAAAAAAAAAAUUCCUUAGGGAUAUCUUAGAGUAGUAAAGUGACUUCCUCAUAUAAAUAGUUUGAAAGGGUACUUAAGUUUUUCACCCAAAUUGUGAUAUACAAAAAGGUUAUUACCAAGCAACCUACAUGUCAAGAAAGCCCCAGUUAGGAAGGAGCCACAGCAUUUAUCUUGUUUAUAAUUUCUUUGGUACUCCCACUGUUUAGAGCACAGGUUGAACACCAUGUUCAUCUAAGCCUUAUUAGUUAAAAAAUGUGUUAUGGCAAGGCAAAUAAACUAGUUUAAAAAACAUUAAAUUUCACCAUUUGUAGAAAUUCAAGUUUUAUAAUAGCUUGCUAUAGCAGCUAUAGAUAAAUUAGUCACCUUAUUACAAAACUAAACCUUUGUAAACAAGUUUAAAUUUAAUUUUCAAGAACCAAAUUGCACUAGUCAAGAGUGUAGGAAUUUUGAGAAUCUAACAACUAGAUUCAAAGUACUGUAUCACUUAGUAUACCCUUUAAGGUAGCACUUAUCCAGUCCAAAACUCCAGUGACAAAAUUCCUAGUUUAUCAAGAUAAACACAGUAACACUGGAUUAAAGGAAAAACAUUGCUAUGGUAUAGACUGUGGUUGGCUUCUAUCCAGUAACCUUGGGAAUGAAGACAUCUUUGUAAACAAGUCCUGCUGUUUCUUUAACAGCUAACAUAGGAAAUAAUUAAAUGUAUUCUUUAGUGCCAAUUGUAAGUUUUAAAAUCAGAAUGGCAGUGUAACUUGUGAAUUGGCUAGGGCAAUCAAUCACAGCACUACUUUCUGUAAAACUUUAGUAGUUCAGUGAUACCAGUUCUACCCAAUCUUGGUGAAUUCCAACUUGUUUGCUUAGUUAUCUUCUUUAGUGUUUUCCUGGUGGUUUUUCAGUGCUCUUCGGUGGUGUCAUAAUGCCUCCAUUGCACACUGGUGACAACUGUCCCCCUUUUCUGAAGGUGUUUAUGUAAUUUACUUCCUCC